rnacentral:rRNA from 1 species
AACGAACGCUGGCGACAGGCUUAACACAUGCAAGUCGAACGGACGUAGCAAUACGUUAGUGGCGCACGGGAGAGUAACACGUGGGAACCUACCUUUUAGUUCGGGAUAACGUCGGGAAACUGACGCUAAUACCGGAUACGCCCCAAGGGGGAAAGAUUUAUCGCUAAAAGAUGGGCCCGCGCUAGAUUAGCUUGUUGGUGAGGUAAUGGCUCACCAAGGCUACGAUCUAUAGCUGGUCUGAGAGGAUGACCAGCCUCACUGGGACUGAGACACGGCCCAGACUCCUACGGGAGGCAGCAGUGGGGAAUAUUGGACAAUGGGGGAAACCCUGAUCCAGCCAUGCCGCGUGAAUGAUGAAGGCCUUCGGGUUGUAAAGUUCUUUUGGAGGGGACGAUGAUGACGGUACCCUCAGAAUAAGCUCCGGCUAACUUCGUGCCAGCAGCAGCCGCCG